rnacentral:lncRNA from 1 species
GGAAUUUUCACCUAUACAUGAUUAUGUACUUUACAUAAUUGUAUGUGCUGUACUUUUAGAGGUCUGUCGAUAUAGUGGGUUUAGAAAUAUCACUACACAUACAUGAGUAAUGCAUUGUGCUACAAUGUUUUGAUGGCUAAAUCAUGGGACCAAAGGAAUUUUUCAGCAUCAGCAAAAUUUUAUGGGACCACUGUCAUAUAUGCAAUCUGUCACUGACCAAAACGUAGUGUAGUACAUGACUAUACACCCAGGAGGCCCAAUAUCCAAAUAACAGGCAUUUUAGAGAAUUGGAACAGAAAAAAUAGAGCAAAGGGAAUAGUAAAAGAAACUGCAAAAAAAAAUUUUCCAGAAAUUAACAUGUAUUUCCAGAUGCAAUGACCCACUGUGUGCAUAGAAAAAUGGACUCACCAAGGGACAUUAUUUAAAAGGAAAAAGUUUUAAAUUCAAAAGGAAGCUCUUACAGACUUUCAACGGGAAGGAAAAAUGUUAACAGAGGAGGGCCCGGGGAUUUAGCUCAGUGGUGCUGCCACCUGCCUCACAAGCACAAGGUCCUGAGUUCAAUCCAUGGUACCAAAAAAAAUUUUUUUUGCUUACUCUGUCCUUUGUAAGGAACACUGUUGAAAAAAUAUAUUAAAGGAAAGUAGGCUAUAAAAGAAAAUCAAGAUAAUGGUUUACUUUCUGGAAUGAUUUUCUAGAUGACAGCUUAUCCUUCCAUUAAUCUAGAGGUAAAAACAGGAAAAAGGGAAUUAAAGUCAAAAGCAGAGGAAAAGGCAUCCCAACUUUGGGGUGAUGGAAAGCUCCAACACAAGAGCUACCCUGCAGAACUAGAGAGCCAUCAGCCCAAAUGAGAGGAAGACAGAAGCUCAGGAAGAGAACUCUUCAGGAAGAUGAAACUUGUACCAGGAACUGAACUCAGGACCUUGCGCUUCCCUGGCAGGCAUAUUUUUAAUGCUCAAGAUGCUAUGGUGAACAGAACUAUCAGAUUACUGGAUGUCAUCUUGAACAGAAAAUAAAAACAUCAUGUAUAUUGGAUGUACACAAGGCCUCAUGCAACUUAAAAGUGAUGCUGAGCUUUGCAGGUGCUUUAGCAGAAGAAACAUAAGUAGUACAACAAUGGUGAGC